rnacentral:rRNA from 1 species
CCUACGGGAGGCAGCAGUGAGGAAUAUUGGUCAAUGGGCGCGAGCCUGAACCAGCCAAGUAGCGUGAAGGAUGACUGCCCUACGGGUUGUAAACUUCUUUUAUAAAGGAAUAAAGUGAGGCACGUGUGCCUUUUUGUAUGUACUUUAUGAAUAAGGAUCGGCUAACUCCGUGCCAGCAGCCGCGGUAAUACGGAGGAUCCAAGCGUUAUCCGGAUUUAUUGGGUUUAAAGGGUGCGUAGGCGGAAUGUCAAGUCAGCGGUAACAUUUCGGGGCUCAACCCCGUCGUGCCGUUGAAACUGGCGUUCUUGAGUGAGCGAGAAGUAUGCGGAAUGCGUGGUGUAGCGGUGAAAUGCAUAGAUAUCACGAAGAACUCCGAUUGCGAAGGCAGCAUACCGGCGCUCAACUGACGCUCAUGCACGAAAGCGUGGGUAUCGAACAGGAUUAGAUACCCCUGUAGUC